AUUGAACGCUGGCGGCAGGCCUCACACAUGCAAGUCGCACGAGUGGCGGACGGGUGAGUACUGUCUGGGAAACUGCCCGAUGGAGGGGGAUAACUACUGGAAACGGUAGCUAAUACCGCAUACCAUCGGAUGUGCCCAGAUGGGAUUAGCUUGUCGGUGAGGUAACGGCUCACCUAGGCGACGAUCCCUAGCUGGUCUGAGAGGAUGACCAGCCACACGUGAACUGAGACACGGUCCAGACUCCUACGGGAGGCAGCAGUGGUGAAUAGUGGACAGUGGGGGAGAGCCUGAUCCAGCCGUGCCGCGUGUGUGAAGAAGUUCUUCGGAUUGUAAAGCACUUUAAGUUGGGAGGCGUUACCAACAGAAUAAGCACCGGCUAACUUCGUGCCAGCCGCCGCGGUAAUAC
rnacentral:rRNA from 1 species